rnacentral:rRNA from 1 species
UACAGAGGUCUCAAGCGUUGUUCGGAUUCAUUGGGCGUAAAGGGUGCGUAGGCGGCGCGGUAAGUCGGAUGUGAAAUCUCGGGGCUUAACUCCGAAACUGCAUUCGAUACUGCCGUGCUUGAGGACUGGAGAGGAGACUGGAAUUUACGGUGUAGCGGUGAAAUGCGUAGAUAUCGUAAGGAAGACCAGUGGCGAAGGCGGGUCUCUGGACAGUUCCUGACGCUGAGGCACGAGGGCCAGGGGAGCAAACGGG